CCCAUUUCUCGCUGAACUCCCUCACCCACAGGUUUCCUUCCACUCGGCGGCGACCAGCCGUUCCCGGUCCACAAUGACACAGCAGGGCUGGAGGGACACGGCGCCCGGGCUGCCUCCUGGGGAGACCGGCCGCUGGGCGAAAGCCGAGCUCAGGGGAGGGGACCCGCGGCCCUGCCGGCGCCGGCCCCUCGAAGUGAGGCUGCCAGCGCCACGCAGCACUGCACAAGGAGAACUGGAGUAAGGAGAAAAACAAAAGCAAAUCCAGGCUGAAAAUCUACAUCAGUACCAGCCGCCGGCUCUGCGAUUUUAUCAACACAAAUGGAAGAGAGAAAAGGGAAAAAAGAAAUCGUGUGUAAGCUGCUACAUCAGUCGUGGCACACGAUUGUUUUCUUCCUUGCAUUAGCUUCUUUGUCAGACUGAAGUUGGACAUGGUAGGGAAAAAUGCAAUCUCAUUAAGAGUAUUCUACAACAAAACAAGAAUUUCCUCAGUGGCAUCAGAGCCAAGCCAAAUCUUCAGCUGUUCCCCUUUUCCUUUUGAAAAGAUGAAUGGUGAGCGUAGACCUGAUCGCUCUCAAAUCAGGACACCAUCAGGUGACCAGUCUGCACUUCUAAAUAUAACACCACAUUGUCCUGAGGAGCAGCUGCUUUGAAAGUUAACUGGAAACAUCUACCUAGAGCCUGCAGUGUCAAGAUAUAUAUACCUGAUCUACCUACUAUAAAUGCUGACCUCUCUGAUAGCAGCUACCUGCUCCACAGGAAUACUGGGCCACAUCCUGAGGAGCUUGUCUAUGCUAUGCCAGGAAAGAACCUGUCUCGGGGGGGGUAUUUCAGGAAGCUGGUGACUAUCGGGUAUUACAUGGUGCCCUUUUAUUCCUCACCUUGGGUUCUGUUAUUCCCCAGCAAGAUUGUUAUUGCAGGAACCUGAACAGAUCUUACUGCAACAAUGUAUUUGGGCAAAGGGAAAGGGCUAAUCUCACAAUAGAAAAAAAGGUUUUUGUCACACACCAAUUUUUAAAAUACGCCUCUCAAAAGAUCCUUUAUUAAUAUUCUCAAAACAUGUCACAUACUUGCGGGCCCUGCUGUCUUCUCAGUUUGGUACUAAUAAGAAGCAUUUCUACUGAAACUACCAGCAUCCAUGUUCAAAAUUGAGAGAAAUAAAAAGACAAUCAAGCCCUGACUAUUAAAGGUUAUAAUCAGAUACAGAUACUUUAGACUACUCACAAUCAUUUAUUUACAAUCAUUUAAAUGUAGUCUACUUUUGGGGGUGGAACGAUAUGAACAUCCUGGAUACAUAUAUAGUUCUAGCUUCACUAGUAAAAAACAGCCCUGAUUGCAGGUAGUCACUUUUGGAGUGAUCUGUUUGCAUUCCAAGUGCUGUGGAACACGUACAAAGAUGGACUUUGCUGCAGAAAAGCAAUGAACCCACAUAGACAACAAGCCACCCCUCUGUCAGUCCCCCUGUGCAGUCACCACCUCCCUAUACACACAGCAAAACACACAAGGAACAAAAUUCUGUGCUCAAGAGCUUUUCCAGUUUGAGUCAAAGAACUUCCAGUAUUUUAGUUUGGAAAAUGGCAAGAUAAAAGUGCAAAUAAAAAUACUGUUCAUA